ACAAGCGGUGGAGCAUGUGGUUAAUUCGAAGCAACGCGAAGAACCUUACCAGGUCUUGACAUCCCGAUGCUAUUUCUAGAGAUAGAAAGUUACUUCGGUACAUCGGUGACAGGUGGUGCAUGGUUGUCGUCAGCUCGUGUCGUGAGAUGUUGGGUUAAGUCCCGCAACGAGCGCAACCCCUAUUGUUAGUUGCCAUCAUUCAGUUGGGCACUCUAGCGAGACUGCCGGUAAUAAACCGGAGGAAGGUGGGGAUGACGUCAAAUCAUCAUGCCCCUUAUGACCCGGGCUACACACGUGCUACAAUGGUUGGUACAACGAGUUGCGAGUCGGUGACGGCGAGCUAAUCUCUUAAAGCCAAUCUCAGUUCGGAUUGUAGGCUGCAACUCGCCUACAUGAAGUCGGAAUCGCUAGUAAUCGCGGAUCAGCACGCCGCGGUGAAUACGUUCCCGGGCCUU
rnacentral:rRNA from 1 species